AAAGUCGUAACAAGGUUUCCGUAGGUGAACCUGCGGAAGGAUCAUUAUCCUGCAAAAGGUCGCUCUCUUCCGGGAGAGUUGACCUUUGCUACCCCAUUCCGUGUCUUUUUGCGUACCAUGUUUUGUUUCCUUGGUGGGCUUGCCUGCCGUAAGGACAAUAUUAUAACCUCUUUGCAGUUGCAUUCAACGUCUGAUACAAUCAAUAGUUACAACUUUCAACAAUGGAUCUCUUGGUUCUG
rnacentral:misc_RNA from 1 species